rnacentral:lncRNA from 1 species
GAUGUGGAAAAUAAGGCUCUCGAGCAGCCUAUUUAUAGAGAAGCAAUGAAGGAGGGGCCCGAGAACCAAGGAGCUUUAAUGAGAGCAGGUGGGGGUCGAAAGGGGGGUGGACGGCCCCAGGCCCCCGGGCCUGCUAAGGAAGGGGGGAGUACUGUUGGUACCAUGGACCGCGGACCGCGGCCCAUGGACCGAACCGGACCGGACGACCCAGGCGGACGGACGGGCGGGCGGACGAGUGGACGAACGGGGCUGACCGUACAAGCCCACGAGGCCCAAUAACAACAGGUGAAGGCUAUAAAUACCUCCCUUGGCCCAACUGGGAAGGGGGUUGACAAUUCUGGAGAGUGAACACUUGGGAGAGUUGAGGUUGUGAGCUUACACCGACGAGCCCAC